AAAAAUUUCCGAAUGUUCUAAAAAUUAUCGCAUAAAAAAUUAUCGUAGGUUUGGAUUCGAACCCAAGCUAACUAGGUUCACUCAAAUCUAUAAAAGGCUAGUGUACUCUUUGUACAGACUCUAUUCAGCAGCCUAGACUUUUCGGUACAUCGGUGAAAUCAUUCUAUAGGUUUGUUCCAGUUCCAGUGUUUGAAAGCAUUCUAUAGCAAAUCGGAGUGAAAAGGAGGAAGAAUUUUUUGCUCCAGAGCAACAGGGAGUGACUUCCGUGUACUGGAACAAACCUUAUGUAUGCAAGAUUGGUGCAGACAGUAAGCUAAGUGUUUAGUAUUCGACGGGUUGCUGGAUCGGAUACAGCUAGGGCCGAGGUGGUGGCUCAUACAUCCUUGACCUGACGGACAAAACUAUGGUGCCUUGAGCACAGGCAACGCAGGUCCAAUGCCAUCAUUGAAAUGAUAAGUUCUGCGUUUGAGAUGCACUUCCCCCGGUUGCCAGACGAAUACCUGUAAUUAUUGCUUGUUACCUUGUAUGCAUAAAUCUGAUUGUGAGUCCUGUGGUGGUGUCUACGUGGAAGGCGUGAGUCUUAGCGUUGGAGUCUAGGGGUGCAUAUCUAUCUGUAUUGGCGUGGACGUUUACUAAUUAUGUAGUAGUGUGAUCGCGAAGGACUCGAGCAUUUGAAUGCUAGCGUGUUUCUAACUUUGCGUGCAUAAAUUCUAUUUUAGAUUCGUGUGGCCAUUUGCAUAUUCGCGUGUAUUCUUGAACGAUCGCGCGGGGCCCGUGAAUCUGACAAUUAAUUUUAGUGUAUGGUAAAUGAACGUGUUGUCUGUGUGAAUAUGAGCAUCAUUCUUGA